GACGAACGCUGGCGGCGUGCUUAACACAUGCAAGUCGAACGGAAAGGCCCUGCUUUUGUGGGGUGCUCGAGUGGCGAACGGGUGAGUAACACGUGAGUAACCUGCCCUUGACUUUGGGAUAACUUCAGGAAACUGGGGCUAAUACCGGAUAGGAGCUCCUGCUGCAUGGUGGGGGUUGGAAAGUUUCGGCGGUUGGGGAUGGACUCGCGGCUUAUCAGCUUGUUGGUGGGGUAGUGGCUUACCAAGGCUUUGACGGGUAGCCGGCCUGAGAGGGUGACCGGCCAGAUGGGGAUGGAGAUCCGCCCCGGACCCAUGGGGGGGGGGGAAGGGGGGAAUUUUGCAAAAGGGGGGGAGCCCGGAGCCAGAACCGCCGGGUGGGGGAGGCCGGCCUUGGGUUGUAAACCCCUUUGCGCCGGUGAGGAAGCGGGAGGCAGGUAAAGGGGUAAAGAAACCCGGGCAAAUUCGGGC
rnacentral:rRNA from 1 species